ensembl:lncRNA
CCAGCCUGCUGUCUUGACUGUGGCGUUUGUAUUUUAAUAGGAGUUUUAAGAAGGCUUGGCUAGGGGUAUUUAAGGUAGUCCCUGAGCUUUUAUGUAGACCUUCUCAGCCGUGAUUAGAAGCGCGGCGCCGCAGAGAUGUGGAGGCAGAUUUUUAGGAUGUGGAGAUGCAGAGAUUCUGCAAGAGUGCCCUCAGCGAUGCCCUCCUAAAGCCUCUUUCAGAUGAGCGAGCUCAUCUCCCGCUGCCCGUUGAAUCCCUUUUCACAUCCCGGCCUCUGGACUCCUUAACACUGCGUCCAACCGCGCUGCGCAAGGCCAGGAUGAAGGCAGCCCUUGCUCCUCCCUGAGCCGCUCAGGCUGGGCAUGGUGGAAGGAAGGAUGCCUGCUCACCCCUCCCAGCUCCCCAGCACCUGCUUUUCAGGGCCGGACACCUCCCUCCCGGCCCUGGCGCUGGGACGUGCUGCAAGGAGGUAAUGUAUGGAUGCACGGAGCUCAAGGCAGCGAGACGCCUCCCCGGACUCCUGUCUGCAUGCUCAUGAGCAAAAGGGAUAGGAGACAAAUGCGGCUCCUUCAAGGUGAAGGGCAGCGGUGGCAUGAAGGAAAAGUAGCCUGUGCUCUGUGCUGAAGCCAGGAGACCCUCCUGAAAAUUCACCGCUUUUCAUUUUUAAUGACGUCUUAGAUGGGAAUUUCAGAGCUUGUGAAAACCAGAGGCUGAUAAAUCUGCAGGGUUAAUCAAGAGAGAGCCUGCCUGCCAACGUAUCCAGGUGUCCUGAGCUGCACUAUCGCUGCUCUUCCUCACCUUUCUCCCCCUGUGCUGCAGACACAGCCCGAGCAGGGAUGGAUGGCUACGCUGCAUGGUGCAGUGCAGGCACUGCAUUAUUCACCAGGUUUCCUUGGCUCAUCUAGAGACUUGACUAUGAAUUUGUCUCCAGGUCUUCGGCUUUGCAACCCCAAUGUGCCCACCCAGCUUUGCCUGCUGCUGGCUUAACCCUGCCUGUCUGGACCCCGAUCCCACCAAGGAGGAUAAAGCAGGGAGAGCACCAAGGUGCAUUUCUGCUGUACAGCAUCCCAGAGGGAGCAGGAGCUCUUCAGAGAUGAAAAUCUGCUUUGACAUGUGAGACUCAACCCUCCAUUAAAUGAGGAGCUGAAGAAGUCACCUGUUUGGACUUUGAAGAGUCAUGGUGGCCACCUAACUAACCCUUUUGGUGGGGCAGUUUAAUCCCUGAAAGGGUACUGUGGCCCUAAGCUCCCCAGUCACAGCCCAGAAGCAGCUAAAGCAAGGAGGUGUGAUGACUGGGAUGGAUGGAUGGAUGGAUGGAUGGAUGGAUGGAUGGAUGGAUGGAUGGAUGGAUGAUUUUAACAGGUACCUUGGAGCCCAGCAUGUCACCAACUCUGCAGUCCUUUGGUUCCAGGUUUCAUCAUGAAGCCCUUCAGAGACACUGAGCUGCAUGUAGCACCCUCCCUUCCUUAUCUGCCUGUCCCAGGGGCAGCUGGAGGACACAGUUGGAGAAGGGAAGCUCCCAGCCCCACGGCUACCCGGGCACCUUGGAAGAGGGCAGGCUGUACCCAGGCGAUAAACGAUUGCAAAGCAGCCCAUUAAUUCAGGAGCAAAGAUACAAAGAACAGCCCACCAGAGCUUCAAACUUCACCAUUUUGCUGUACCAAACCUCCCUUGAAAUGCUAAUUAAAACGAGCUUGGGGAGAGGAGCCUGCUAACAGGAUCACAGCCUCUCUUGCAUCGAGCAAUAGACGUGUAGUAGGCAUCCAUGUUUCCCCGUACGCUUAUUUUCCAAGCUGAGUUGACUGUAAAUGUUGCGGUAAUGUGAAACCCACAGAGGGAGCGGGAUGCAAACACAAAGCAGAAGGAGACGCGAGGCCUAGUCACGGAGCUGCAAUAGAAAAAUACAUGGCAGCCUUCGGCAUAUAAAUAAAUAACUGCCCGAAACGAGGGCUAAUUAACUUGCAAUAAACCGACUUAACCACUUAGGGGCAGCGUUAACACGGAGUUAACAUGCAAAACAAACCUGUGUGUUCUCACCUGGUUAAUUGAAUAUGCGCCCUGAAUAUUCAUGGUGUAUCAAAUAGCGAUACGUCCACGCACUGAGUGAUGCGGUCUGUCAAAGCCGGGGACGUGAGAUAAUGGGGGUAACUCAGUCGCUGCUGCGCAGCGUUAACUUUGAUCAUUUGGCGCUUCUAAACACAUCCAUAGAUGUAGGACUUUGCUGCUUUUCCUCUGUCGGGGUCACGGAGCGUGUUCUAUACAAAGAUUAAAACCUAAAGGAAAAAAAAAAAAAAGACAUAAAAAAGGGCUUCACUUAAAAUAAACAGAAAGAAGAUGAAACAGAGAAAAAGCCGUCUUUGAGAAAUGCUGCUCUCGCAUGCAGGAGCUGAAAAACCCAUUUUAUCUCCAUGGCCACAUUCGGCGUCACUUUACUUUCACACAAUAUGUUUCUUCUCUACCACGCAUUCAAAAAAACCCCCGGUUCCUUGGAUUCCUCUGAAACGUUUCCUUGCAUCAUAAAGGAGCUCAGACCCACCGCGGGUGUGUUUACACUCCCGGAUCAGAACAAGUAAAUAAAGGAAAGGGGUUUGGUAGUGAGGCUUGAGUAGCUUCAGGUAGCUCCGGCAGGUGGAAGCCAUGGGGAAAACACCAUCAUCUGCUGCCCUGCUCAGUGCUGGGGCACAGGGGUGCUGGUUCUUGCAGCGUUUAGGUGCCCAGUACAGCAGGUGCCCUCUCAACCAGCACCAGGAGCACCGGCUUGCUCAGCACAAGGAAUGCGAUCUGGACCAGGUUCAAGUGUGCCAUCACCUUUCUGUUUGAAAGCAUUUCCCCACAUGCUAUCACCACAGGCCCUUUCAGGUCUCCCUGGAGCCUUCUGUUCUCCAGGCUGAACAGCCCCAGCUCUCUCAGCCUGAUCUCAUAGGAGAGGUGUUCCACCCCUCGGAUCAUUUCUGUGGCCCUCCUCUGGACGUGCUCCAACAGGUCCACGUCUCUCCUGUACUGAGGACUCCACAUCUGGGCUCAGAACUCCAGGUGAGGCCUCAUCAGAGCAGAGCAGAGGGAUAGGAUCAUCUCCCUCACCCUGCUGACCAUGCUUCUUUGGAUGCAGCCCAGGAUACGGUUGGUUUUCCGGGCUGUGAGAGCACGCUGCUGGCUCAUGUCCAGCUUCCCAUGCAGCAGCGUGGUGUGGGGAAGGAGUGGGAUGUGCUGCACUGUGGCCAGCACUGCUCACACUGAGAGAGGGAGUCAGGCUCCAGAGCUGUUGCCCUGACAAAAAAAUUAAGCUGACUGAAAUGCACUCCUGUGAGAAAAGGAGGCAAGCGUGCUGCCAGAAUAGAAAAACAAGGAGUCUGCUUUACAGGAUCAGCCACAGACCACCCUUCUCCGCUGCUGUGAUAUUUCUUCUUUCACCUGCCUCAAGUGGAUGAAGGAAGUCAUUAUCCAGGCAGUCGCUUCCCAUAAAAUUUUCUUCAGGACAGCACAGCCCAGUGCCACGGCUCCUAGGAUCCGGGAGGAGAGUUGCAGGGCCGAAUUGUCAUGCGUUAUGCUGAAUAUUUACUCCUUAUGCAUGCUAUUUUAUUUUAAAUCUAGCGUGUAAUAUGCUUUGCAUCUAGCAUGUUGCUCUGGUGUGUUUUUCCCUUGCCCUGCCUGCCUCUUGCUGGCAGCUGCCAUCGCGAAACAAAAGGCAGCUGCCAGUUUGAGUGAACAUCUCUCUCUUUCCCCGCUUGCUCUUGGAGCCGACGCAGUGCCACUUCCCAGAUGGGGUGACAGGCACGGAU